CCCUUAGAUGUUCUGGGCCGCACGCGUGCUACACUGAGUGGAUCAGCGGGUCAGGUUGCGCGAAAGUGUUUCCUAAUCUUUAAAUCCGCUCGUGAUGGGGAUUGACGGUUGCAAUUUUCCGUCAUGAACGAGGAAUACCUUGUAAGCGCGGGUCAUCAUCCCGCGCUGAAUACGUCCCUGCCCUUUGUACACACCGCCCGUCGCUCCUACCGAUUGGGUGUGCUGGUGAAAUGUUCGGAUCGGCCGUUUGUCGCGGUUUCCGCGGCUCGUGGCUGAGAAGUUCAUUAAACCCUCCCACCUAGAGGAAGGAGAAGUCGUAACA
rnacentral:rRNA from 1 species